UUGAUUCUGGCUCAGGACGAACGCUGGCGGCGUGCUUAACACAUGCAAGUCGAACGGAAAGGCCCUUCGGGGUACUCGAGUGGCGAACGGGUGAGUAACACGUGGGUGAUCUGCCCUGCACUUUGGGAUAAGCCUGGGAAACUGGGUCUAAUACCGAAUACACCCUUCUGGCUGCAUGGUCUGGGAGGGGAAAGCUUUUGCGGUGUGGGAUGGGCCCGCGGCCUAUCAGCUUGUUGGUGAGGUUACGGCUCACCAAGGCGACGACGGGUAGCCGGCCUGAGAGGGUGACCGGCCACACUGGGACUGAGAUACGGCCCAGACUCCUACGGGAGGCAGCAGUGGGGAAUAUUGCACAAUGGGCGCAAGCCUGAUGCAGCGACGCCGCGUGAGGGAUGACGGCC
rnacentral:rRNA from 1 species